GAUGAACGCUGGCGGCGUGCCUAAUACAUGCAAGUCGAGCGAACGGACGAGAAGCUUGCUUCUCUGAUGUUAGCGGCGGACGGGUGAGUAACACGUGGAUAACCUACCUAUAAGACUGGGAUAACUUCGGGAAACCGGAGCUAAUACCGGAUAAUAUUUUGAACCGCAUGGUUCAAAAGUGAAAGACGGUCUUGCUGUCACUUAUAGAUGGAUCCGCGCUGCAUUAGCUAGUUGGUAAGGUAACGGCUUACCAAGGCAACGAUGCAUAGCCGACCUGAGAGGGUGAUCGGCCACACUGGAACUGAGACACGGUCAAGACUCCUACGGGAGGCAGCAGUAGGGAAUCUUCCGCAAUGGGCGAAAGCCUGACGGAGCAACGCCGCGUGAGUGAUGAAGGUCUUCGGAUCGUAAAACUCUGUUAUUAGGGAAGAACAUAUGUGUAAGUAACUGUGCACAUCUUGACGGUACCUAAUCAGAAAGCCACGGCUAACUACGUG
rnacentral:rRNA from 1 species